rnacentral:rRNA from 1 species
CGUGGAUAACCUGCCUCACACUGGGGGAUAACAGUUAGAAAUGACUGCUAAUACCGCAUAAGCGCACAGUGCCGCAUGGCAGUGUGUGAAAGACUCCGGUGGUGUGAGAUGGAUCCGCGUCUGAUUAGCCAGUUGGCGGGGUAACGGCCCACCAAAGCGACGAUCAGUAGCCGACCUGAGAGGGUGACCGGCCACAUUGGGACUGAGACACGGCCCAA